rnacentral:rRNA from 1 species
AACGAACGCUGGCGGCAUGCCUAACACAUGCAAGUCGAACGAGACCUUCGGGUCUAGUGGCGCACGGGUGCGUAACGCGUGGGAACCUGCCCUUAGGUUCGGAAUAACUCCCCGAAAGGGGUGCUAAUACCGGAUAAUGUCUUCGGACCAAAGAUUUAUCGCCUUUGGAUGGGCCCGCGUUGGAUUAGCUAGUUUGGUAGGGUAAAAGCCUACCAAGGCGACGAUCCAUAGCUGGUCUGAGAGGAUGAUCAGCCACACUGGGACUGAGACACGGCCCAGACUCCUACGGGAGGCAGCAGUGGGGAAUAUUGGACAAUGGGCGAAAGCCUGAUCCAGCAAUGCCGCGUGAGUGAUGAAGGCCUUAGGGUUGUAAAGCUCUUUUACCCGGGAUGAUAAUGACAGUACCGGGAGAAUAAGCUCCGGCUAACUCCGUG